GCCUGGGUGGCUCAGUCGGUUAAGCACCUGACUUUGACUCAGGUCAUGAUCUCGCGGUUCGUGAGUUCGAGCCCCGCUUCGGGCU
rnacentral:tRNA from 1 species